rnacentral:rRNA from 1 species
GAUGAACGCUGGCGGCGUGCUUAACACAUGCGAGUAGAACGCUGACUACUUUAGCUUGCUAGAGUAGAAGGAGUUGCGAACGGGUGAGUAACGCGUAGGUAACCUGCCUACUAGCGGGGGAUAACUAUUGGAAACGAUAGCUAAUACCGCAUAACAGUGUUUAACACAUGUUAGAUGCUUGAAAGAUGCAAUUGCAUCACUAGUAGAUGGACCUGCGUUGUAUUAGCUAGUUGGUGGGGUAACGGCCCACCAAGGCGACGAUACAUAGCCGACCUGAGAGGGUGAUCGGCCACACUGGGACUGAGACACGGCCCAG